rnacentral:piRNA from 1 species
UAGUUUCAAGCCAGUGGGAUCUCCUAAAA